AUCUUAAAGUUAGCAUUUUUUUUAGUGAAUCAGAACACUUGAGAAUGGUUCUCAAAUUUUUAGUUAAGUCGUUCUUAUUUUAUUUUGGCCACACCACAUGGCAUGCAGAAUAUUAGUUCCCUGCCCAGGGAUUGAACCUACUUAUCAAUGCCUAUUGGCUGUGAAGAAGGCUGAGCGCCGAAGAAUUGAUGCUUUUGAACAGUGGUGUUGGAGAAGACUCUUGAGAGUCCCUUGGACUGCAAGGAGAUCCAACCGGUCCAUUCUGAAGGAGAUCAGCCCUGGGGUUUCUUUGGAAGGAAUGAUGCUAAAGCUGAAACUCCAGUACUUUGUCCUCCUCAUGUGAAGAGUUGACUUAUUGGAAGACUCUGAUGCUGGCAGGGAUUGGGGGCAGGAGGAGAAGGGGAUGACAGAGGAUGAGAUGGCUAGAUGGCAUCACUGACUCAAAGGAUCACUUUGUUGCUUACUUCAAAUUUACCUCUGGUGAGCAAGAAAAAAGGGAAGAGGAUACUGAGCUGAUAAUCAAAAUAUUUUCUUUGGCUAGUGGGUUGAAAAGGGAAGACUAGGAGUGUAAAAUGGUGCAACCACUUUUGAGAGCUGUUAAUUGAAAAGUUAAACAGUCACAUACAGUACAACCCAACAAUGCUACUCCUAGAUACUCACCCAAGAGAAAUACAAGCAUACCUUCAUGCAAAGACUUGUGCAUAAUGGUUCAUAGAAACUUUACUAGUAAACACCCCCCUCCAAUGGAAAUAAUUCAUCAAGAGAUG
ensembl:lncRNA